rnacentral:tRNA from 1 species
UCGAACUAUGGACCUUUCGCUUACUAGGCGAACGCUCUGCCACUGAGCCA